GCUGCCGGAGCAGAAGUCAAUUUGGAAACUGCUUAUAAGGAUUAUUCACCAGAAUCUGCAGAUUCCCCUGAGAGAGCUUGUGCAAAUCCUUUUCAAAACACAGAUGACUUAUCAAAGGAAAAUCUGCUGAACUCUCUGUUGCUGUUUGACUCUAUGACACUGUUGUCUGAAAAAAGGGAUCAUGAGACUUCGGAGAAAUUAGAGACACUACCACCUGGGAAAGAAGCGUCCAAGCAGGAGAAGGAGGUGGUGAUGUCUGGAUUAACCUCUAAGA